rnacentral:pre_miRNA from 2 species
GAUGUACUCCUUCCGUCUCAACAUUCUUGUAUUUGUUUUAUGUAGAUAUGAAUGUAUGUAGUCAUGUGUUAGUAUUUAGAUACAUUCAUUUAUGAACAAAUGUAAGAUAAGAAUUUUGAAACGGAGGGAUUACGUA